CCUACGGGUGGCAGCAGUGAGGAAUAUUGGUCAAUGGGCGCGAGCCUGAACCAGCCAAGUAGCGUGAAGGAUGACUGCCCUACGGGUUGUAAACUUCUUUUAUAAAGGAAUAAAGUGAGGCACUUGUGCCUUUUUGUAUGUACUUUAUGAAUAAGGGUCGGCUAACUCCGUGCCAUCAGCCGCGGUAAUACGGAGGAUCCGAGCGUUAUCCGGAUUUAUUGGGUUGAAAGGGAGCGUAGAUGGGUUGUUAAGUCAGUUGUGAAAGUUUGCGGCUCAACCGUAAAAUUGCAAUUGAUACUGGCAGUCUUGAGUACAGGUGAGGUAGGCGGAAUUCGUGGUGUAGCGGUGAAAUGCUUAGAUAUCACGAAGAACUCCGAUUGCGAAGGCAGCUUACUAACCUGCCACUGACAUUGAUGCUCGAAAGUGUGGGUAUCAAACAGGAUUAGAUACCCCAGUAGUC
rnacentral:rRNA from 1 species